CCUAUUUGUACUACACCAACAAAGGAAAAGCAGCUCGGGAAUUACCGUAUAAAGCGAAGGAAAGCGGGUUUCCUGAAAGGCGCCUUCCUUUUCCCAUCUGCACACUUCCGCCACAUCACAGCACCGCCGCCGGGACAGCUUUGCUUUCCCACCUCCUCGCGCCGCCGGGAUCCGCGUAGAGCUCGUCCUCCCCGCCGCCGCCGGCAGGAGCUCCCUCGCUCGCUUGCUCGCCGGGAACCCCGUCUCCCGCCGGCCGCCGCACCCUUCUCCGCCGUCAGAGGAAAGCAGCAGGCAAAGCGGAACAGCGCGGGCCGAGGAAGGGGUAGGUGAGGAGGGGAGAUGGCCGGCGCGGGGAGGAAGGUGGCAGUCGCCGCCGUGCAGUUCGCCUGCACCGACACGGUGGCCGACAACGUCGCCGCCGCCNNNAGGUUGAUUAGAGAAGCUCAUAAGAAAGGCGCGAACAUUGUCCUCAUUCAGGAGCUAUUUGAGGGGCACUAUUUCUGUCAGGCUCAAAGGAUGGAUUUCUUUGGGCGUGCCAAGCCUUAUAAAGAGAACCCGACUAUAAUGAGAAUGCAAAAGCUUGCAAAGGAGUUGGAUGUUGUAAUACCUGUAAGUUUCUUUGAAGAAGCGGGCAAUGCUCAUUACAAUUCCGUGGCCAUUAUUGAUGCUGAUGGCACCGAUCUUGGCCUAUACCGCAAAUCACACAUUCCAGAUGGACCAGGUUAUCAAGAGAAAUUUUAUUUCAACCCGGGUGACACUGGAUUCAAGGCUUUCAAAACCAAGUAUGCAACAAUUGGUGUUGGAAUUUGUUGGGACCAGUGGUUUCCAGAGACCGCAAGGGCUAUGGUGCUACAGGGGGCGGAGAUAUUGUUCUAUCCCACUGCUAUUGGUUCUGAACCCCAGGAUAUGAACCUGGAUUCCCGCGAACACUGGAAGCGUGUCAUGCAAGGCCAUGCCGGUGCUAACUUGGUUCCUCUUGUUGCUUCUAACCGGAUAGGAAAGGAAACUGUCGAGACUGAGCAUGGGAACAGCACCAUAAAAUUCUACGGGAACUCAUUCAUCGCAGGGCCAACUGGAGAAAUCGUGAAGCUUGCAAAUGACAAAGACGAGGAGGUGCUCGUGGCAGAGUUUGACUUGGACGAGAUCAAAUCUACGAGACACGGCUGGGGGAUAUUCAGGGACAGGCGUCCUGAUCUAUACAAAGUGCUACUGACGUUGGAUGGCAAGACAUCAUCAUCAUCCUAGGUUCCACUUUUAUGAAGACGACAUGAACUCCAGAAUGCUAUACUGGGAAAACACAGGGUCCGUAAGUCUAGCUUCCCCCUGCAAAAGAAAUGGUUUGCCUCUUUGCAACGUAUCCCCGUGUUUGCGACUCGGUGAUUUUCCACCAAUAGAGCAUUAAUAAAAUACUGUCAUGUAAGAGAAUAUUUGCUCCUACAAGUAUGAAGAUGAGGGAUCAAAGCAAUAUAAUAAUGAUGCAUCGCAUUUGUUGAAACAUUUAGGUGGUACCCCUACAGUUACUGAUUUUAGUUACUGAAAAUCAAUAGGUGGAUCAUAAUUGGCAGAAUCAGCAUCUUUGACCUCCAAGAUAUAUAUACCAUUUGCUUUGGCUGUAAUGUAGACCUAUCAACCAACUGUCACAUGUGCUGUAUUACUUUUUCAUCAAACCAAGUGCAGGCAGGGUUCUUGUGAGCCUAGCUAGAGUGCUUUGCAGCCUGUAUACACGCUCAUCCUUAGCUGGGGAGCAUCGUUGCAACUAUGUCGAGGACAAACGCGCC
rnacentral:rRNA from 1 species